ACUGUGGUGAGGACAGACGGGGGCGGGUGGGCUCUCCUCAUCCUGGACAGGAAGUACAGAUGCUGCUGUGCCCUCUUGACCAGUGACGCAGUGUUUACAGACCAGGUGAGGUCUGAAAACCUC